UGGAACAGAAGGUAUCUGAUUAGAGAAAGUCACUUUAACCCAGCGGUUAGUGUCCGUACUGGUGGAACGGAAGCAGCACUAUCACCGCCUCGGGCAGCAUGACCGUCGCCUGCAGCGUUCCGAACAGAAAUACCCACUACGCCGGAUUCCAAGUGUAAGAACCAAGUUAUUUGUGUAUACACAUUAAUAAUAAGACAAUAAAAUCGGGCAGUCGAGUGGUAAAGGUAUCCGGGCAGAAGGUCAGGGGCUAUACGCCGAAAUCGAGAAAAAUCAAGUUUUAUCGGAACAUUCUUUUGGUAGGGGAGAGAGUAUGCUAUGAUGUAUAUUUACUGAUCGCCAACGAAAACAGAAGCGAAAGCAACAAGAUUACCAGCAGCAGAAACAGCUAAAGCCAAAGCAAUGCCAAAAUAUAAUUUAAAAUCUUAAAAAGGAAAAAGCGGAAUGAGGAAGGCAAUAAUCACUGAGCACAGUACGGCGCCACGAGCACACAGAGGCGCCGAUUCAAAGGGAUUUAAAGGGGAGAGGUGCACGGUGCACGUUGCUGGAGUGACAGCCGAUUGGAGGACGCACAGGGGGAAAACUGAAUGAAAGGCGUUCUACAAAACGACCGCAUUACUCAUUCGCAAAAAUUUUACAAUUUAAAUGUACAUACGUGUGUCGGCUUAUUUUUAAAAAAUUAAUAAAUAAGGCAGGCCCAAGAAAUUGACCCCAAAUUUUGUUCGAUAUUGCGAGAAACUUACGGAAAAUUGUAUUCUUCAUUUUCUGUACCUUAAUAUAAAAAAAUAUGUUUCUGAAACACCAAAACUCGCUUAACAAUUUCGGAAAACUCAUGAGUUUAAAGUGACAAAAUGUAAUCGGUAAAUUUGCUGAAAUACGAAUUUCUUUGUAAGUUCAUUCGCAACUUUCUGAUGGUCCACUAGCCCAGUUCCAUACAAACCUCGAUCCCUUCGCAAAUCCUGAUUAUGGUCGACAGCCAUUAAUAUUCCCUGUGCUCGUUCUUAGUACUGUGCUCGUUCUUAGUACACCCCUUUUCUUCUGACUUUUAGCGCAGCUGAUAAGUCCAAGUAAAGUGCAAUCCCCACUCUGUAAUUCGAUGUAUUUGAUCCCCAUCGCUUUUAAGUCGCCGCUCGGCUCGGGAACAUUUUAUGAGUAUUUAUUAAUUAUAGACAGAAUCUCUGGAGGGCGUUUUUCAUUGUGCUACUAAAUAAAUUGCAAGCAUUCAGCGAGCCGAAUCGGACGUCUUGUGGCUUUUCCUCCGAUUCCAUUUUCACUUCCAAUUUAUUUGCCAGGCGGCGUAGAUGGGGCAUGCUAAGAUACAGAUACAUUCUGCGAAUAUAUGUUUAUGUACAGCAUGUAAACACGGACCCGCACGCUCGUUCAUGGCGUAUAUGGAGUCCAGUCCAUUGAGAGGCAUUGAUUGCUGGCCGGUUUCGUUGGGAAUCAGCUGGUACGAGUUAGUUCAACAAUUGGAGCCGAGCAGAGUUCGAUCAAUUGAACUCAUUUGCGCACGCACUCCCCAAACGACAAGCCGUAAAUUUAUUUGUUGACUCGCGCAUCCUCUAGAGAAACCCCGAGCUUACGGCUCCGGAACUCGCAUAGUGCAAGUGAUCACAAUCUCCGAUGACGAUCCUUCUGCCAAAAACGGCUGACCGCGAGCUGAUCCCACUAAUCAGCAAUUCCAUCAUUGAUUUCAUUAUUAUUUGGCGAGCGAUGGCCAAUGCAUUUGUUUAUCGUGCACCGCAAACAAAAGCUGGCUAAGUUUAAACAUGUGUUCGCACCUCAAUUGAAACUCAUUACGGAAAAUGCCUGUGAAGACCUCACGUGGAUGAAUAUAAUGUAUCGCAGGCACCUGGAAGUCAUGAGUUGAAUCGCAAAAACUAUUAUCUUGCCAGUAAAUCCCCCCAAUCGAAGCAAUUAUCAAAAAUUCAACAGCUUGUAAAAUGGAACGUAGGAAGGAAAAUUUGGACACGCUAAUCGCUGAGAAAACAGCAGAGAAUGUGUCUUUAAUUUUUUCGUAAUAUACAUCUUAAGAUCUCCAGAGUUUAUACACAUUAAGGUUUUUUCAUUAAGACUCUAUGAGUACUUCAGAUUAAAACAAUGAUGAUGAUGAUUAAAAUACAAAUUAAUUGAGUUAUAACUUUAAUAUGUUAGUUGCAAAACCUUUACAUCAUGUUACUUAAAUUUUUUUUACAGAUUCUCCCAAUAAUAAUUAUAAUUACUUUUGUAACUCUUUCUCGUAAUCAAAAACGCUGAUACAUUUUAAAUUAUUCAAAUAAAUGGUAUAUGUAUAAGAAUAUGUUUAUACUGAUAACAACAAUCAACAACGAAGUACCAUUAGUUUUAAACGACGUUCAGGGUUUCCCCCUGUAUCGAAACACUUUAAAAGCAAAUCGCUCGCAUUUUCGACGGGAAUGCGUUAAAUUCCAA